CGAAUCUCUAUUCAAAGCACCGAACAAGAUUUCCCUCAUAAAUGGAGCAAGGAACAAACUGAAAAGUUCAUCCGACUCCGUGGAGAAAACGAGCAACUUUUUACUGGAGCCAGAAAUUCGGCCAAUGUUGGAUGGAGCCGUCCCCUCUCCGCUAUCUCCCAGAGCCUGC